UACGUAGGGUGCGAGCGUUGUCCGGAAUUACUGGGCGUAAAGAGCUCGUAGGUGGUUUGUCGCGUCGACCGUGAAAACUCGGGGCUUAACCCCGGGCCUGCAGUGGGUACGGGCAGACUAGAGUGCGGUAGGGGAGACUGGAAUUCCUGGUGUAGCGGUGAAAUGCGCAGAUAUCAGGAGGAACACCGGUGGCGAAGGCGGAUCUCUGGGCCAUUACUGACGCUGAGGAGCGAAAGCGUGGGGAGCGAACAGG
rnacentral:rRNA from 1 species